AUUGAACGCUGGCGGCAUGCCUUACACAUACAAGUCGAACGGUAACAGGUCUUCGGAUGCUGACGAGAGGCGAACGGGUGAGUAAUACAUCGGAACGUGCCUAGUAGUGGGGGAUAACUACUCGAAAGAGUGGCUAAUACCGCAUGAGAUCUACGGAUGAAAGCAGGGGAUUGCAAGACCUUGUGCUACUAGAGCGGCCGAUGGCAGAUUAGGUAGUUGGGGGGAUAAAAGCUUACCAAGCCGACGAUCUGUAGCUGGUCUGAGAGGACGAUCAGCCACACUGGAACUAAGAGACGGCCCAGACUCCUACGGGAGGAAGCAGUGGGGAAUGUGGGACAAUGGGCGAAAGCCUGAUCCAGAAAUGCCGCGUGCAGGAUGAAGGCCUUCGGGUUGUAAACUGCUUUUGUACGGAACGAAAAGCCCCGGGUUAAUACCCUGGGGUCAUGACGGUACCGUAAGAAUAGGCACCGGCUAACUACGUGCCAGCCGCCGCCGUAA
rnacentral:rRNA from 1 species